rnacentral:tRNA from 1 species
AGCAACGAUAGCUUAAAUUUAAAGCAUUGGUCUUGUAAGCCAAAAAUGAACUCAAAUGUUCUCAUUGCUA